CUCAGGACGAACGCUGGCGGCGUGCCUAAUACAUGCAAGUCGAACGGUCUUUCUAUGGAAGCUUGCUUCCACUGAGAAGAUAGUGGCGAACGGGUGAGUAACACGUGGGUAACCUGCCCAUAAGAGGGGGAUAACAUCCGGAAACGGGUGCUAAUACCGCAUAGUUUUCUUGAUCGCAUGAUUGGGAAAGGAAAGACGGCCUUUGUGCUGUCGCUUAUGGAUGGACCCGCGGCGUAUUAGUUAGUUGGUGAGGUAACGGCUCACCAAGACGAUGAUACGUAGCCGACCUGAGAGGGUGAUCGGCCACAUUGGGACUGAGACACGGCCCAAACUCCUACGGGAGGCAGCAGUAGGGAAUCUUCCGCAAUGGACGAAAGUCUGACGGAGCAACGCCGCGUGAGUGAAGAAAGGUUUUCGGAUCGUAAAACUCUGUUGUCAGAGAAGAACAAGUUGGAGAGUAACUGCUCCAGCCUUGACGGUAUCUGACCAGAAAGCCACGGCUAACUACGUGCCAGCCGCCGC
rnacentral:rRNA from 1 species